UCCAAUCGAACCCGGAGAUAGCUGGUUCUCCUCGAAAUAGCUUUAGGGCUAGCCCAUGACAAGUCUGCCGCAGGUAGAGCACUGAAUUUCCUAGGGGGCGUCAAAGCCUACCGAAGAAUAUCAAACUCCGAAUGGCGGCCAGAUGGUGUCAUGGAGUCAGACUGCACGAGAUAAGUUGGGUGGUCAAAAGGGAAAGAGCCCAGACCCACAGCUAAGGUCCCAAAGUGCGUGUUAAGUGGAAAAGGAUGUGGGAUUUCGAAGACAACUAGGAUGUUGGCUCAGAAGCAGCCACACAUUAAAAGAGUGCGUAAUAGCUCACUAGUCGAGAGGUCCUGCGCCGAAAAUGUCCGGGGCUGAAACACGACACCGAAGCUUGGGAAUCCUACGGGAUUGGUAGAGGAGCAUUGAAGACGGGACGAAGCGUAACCGUAAGGAUACGUGGACUGUCUUGAAGAGAGAAUGCCGGAAUGAGUAGCGAGAAUGAAGUGAGAAUCUUCAUGGCCGAAUAUCUAAGGUUUCCAGGGUAAAGCUGAUCUGCCCUGGGUAAGUCGGGACCUAAGGCGAGGCCGAGAGGCGUAGCCGAUGGACAACAGGUUGAGAUUCCUGUACUACAGUAUGACAGAACUGUGGGGACGCAGAAGGAGAGCACUACCUGGAAUGGAAUCCAGGGGCAAGCACAGGAGGGGUACGGCUGGAAAAACCGCCGUGCAACCCAAAGGUGUGACGCAUACCGAACUAAAGUAGGGAAAUGUGUGAGCCGGCUGCCGAGAAAAGCCGCUAUUGUUUGUACUGUACCCGUACCGUAAACCGACACAGGUGGAUGAGGAGAGAAUCCUAAGGCCGGCGGGAGAAGCAUUGUUAAGGAACUCGGCAAAAUGACCCUGUAACUUCGGGAGAAAGGGUGCCUCGAAAGAGGCCGCAGAGAAUAGGCCCAAGCAACUGUUUAGCAAAAACACAGGUCUAUGCAAAACCGCAAGGUGAAGUAUAUGGGCUGACGCCUGCCCGGUGCUGGAAGGUUAAGGGGAGAUGUCAGGAGACGAAGCAUCGAACUUAAGCCCCAGUAAACGGCGGCCGUAACUAUAACGGUCCUAAGGUAGCGAAAUUCCUUGUCGGGUAAGUUCCGACCCGCACGAAAGGCGUAAUGAUUUGGGCGCUGUCUCGACAAUGCAUCCGGUGAAAUUGAAGUACCAGUGAAGAUGCUGGUUACCUGCGCCAGGACGGAAAGACCCCAUGGAGCUUUACUCCAGCUUGAUACUGGGAUUCGAUAUUGUAUGUACAGGAUAGGUGGGAGGCGAAGAAGCAUUGACGCCAGUUGAUGCGGAGCCGCUGUUGGGAUACCACCCUUGCAGUAUUGGAUUUCUAACCAGCAGCCGUGACCCGGCUGGGGGACAAUGUCAGGUGGGGAGUUUGACUGGGGCGGUCGCCUCCGAAAGGGUAUCGGAGGCGC
rnacentral:rRNA from 1 species